rnacentral:rRNA from 1 species
GAUGAACGCUAGCUACAGGCUUAACACAUGCAAGUCGAGGGGAAACGAUAGAGAAAGUUUGCUUUUUCUAGGCGUCGACCGGCGCACGGGUGAGUAACGCGUAUCCAACCUGCCCAUCACUUGGGGAUAACCUUGCGAAAGUAAGACUAAUACCCAAUGAUAUCCCACGAAGGCAUCCGAAUGGGAUUAAAGAUUUAUCGGUGAUGGAUGGGGAUGCGUCUGAUUAGCUUGUUGGCGGGGUAACGGCCCACCAAGGCUACGAUCAGUAGGGGUUCUGAGAGGAAGGUCCCCCCANAUUGGAACUGAGACACGGUCCAAAACUCCUACGGGAGGCAGCAGUGAGGAAUAUUGGUCAAAUGGGCGAGAGCCUGAACCAGCCAAGUAGCGUGCAGGAUGACGGCCCUAUGGGUUGUAAACUGCUUUUAUAAGGGAUAAAGUGAGUCUCGUGAGACUUUUUGCAUGUACCUUAUGAAUAAGGACCGGCUAAUUCCGUGCCAGCAG